GGCCCUAUGGCAGGGUGUGGCCCCUGGGAGACAGGGCUGGCUACACACUCAGUGCCGGAGGGCCCCCAGUAGGGCCGGGCCCCCCCCACACACAAUAGAACAUUCCUCCUUGUGGAUUCAGUGUUUCCCCGACAGGGAAUUUGGGAGGGUGAGGAGGGGCUGCCCAUUGGCUGAGCCUGUGUGGGCGGGGCCCGGUCUGACUCAACAUUUCUGUCCUGCGCUCCAUUCCGACUGGGAGAGACUGAUCUGCUCCUCUGCCCCCCCCAAGCCUCCGCAGACUGGGACCCCCCUCACCCGCUCCGACUGGGACCCCCGGCUGCACCUACCCACCUCUACCAGGGAGACCCUUCGGCUGCUCUCCUUCCUCUACCAGGGAAACCCCCGGCUGCUCUCCUUCCUCUGCCAGGGAAACCCUUCGGCUGCUCUCCUUCCUCUGCCAGGGAAACCCCACUGCUGCAACUACCCACCUCUGCCGCAACUACCCACCUCUGCCCAGGAAACCCUUUGGCUGCUCUCCUUCCUCUGCCAGGGAAACCCCACUGCUGCAACUACCCACCUCUGCCGCAACUACCCACCUCUGCCCAGGAAACCCUUCGGCUGCUCUCCUUCCUCUGCCAGGGAAACCCCACUGCCGCAACUACCCACCUCUGCCAGGGAGACCCUUCGGCUGCACCUACCCACCUCUGCCAGGGAGACCCCACUGCUGCACCUACCCACCUCUGCCAAGAAGACCCCCCUAAUUCUCAAGGCUGCCAACCACAAAGGGCACAAGAUGUUUCUAAUGAAGCAGCUAAACCAGGGGGGCAUCGGGAAUGUCCUACAAGGCCUGACAGGUGGGCAGGGAGGUGGAGGUGGCGGUGGCCAAGGAGGUGUUGGCAAUAUUCUGCAGGGGGCAAUUAGUGGCAUCGCUGGGGGCCAAGGAGGUGGCGGAGGCCAAGGAAACAUUGGGAAUAUCCUGCAGGGGGCAAUCAGUGGCAUCGCCGGUGGGCAGCAACGUGGCGGCCAGGCUGCAGGCGGUGGGCAAGGAGGUGUUGGGAAUAUCAUUGGGGGGGCAAUCAGUAGCCUCGCUGGAGGCCAAGGAGGGGGGGCUGGCAAGUUCAUCCAAGGGGCCAUCGGCAGUCUGGCCGGCGGAGGCUCCGGACAAGGUGGAGCCGGGAAACUGUUUGCGGGGGCCGGCGGGGCCGGGGGCGGCCAAGGGAUGAACAUCCUCGGGGGAAUCAUCAAUGUCAUCGGGGAAGUGAUUGCCAACUACAAGCCGGCGCCCCCUCCCGUGCCCGUGGCCAACGCCUACCAGCAAGAGGCCAACGAGAACGACGAGCAGCGCCAGUUCCGCCGGCUCUUUAAGCAACUGGCCGGGGACGACAUGGAGGUGAAUUCGGAGGAGCUGAAGAACGUGCUGGACAAGGUGGUGGCCAAACACCAGGACCUAAAGACCGACGGCUUCAGCGUGGACACGUGCCGCAGCAUGGUAGCCAUCAUGGACAGCGACGGCACCGGCAAGUUGGGCUUCGAGGAGUUCAAGUACCUGUGGAACAACAUCAAGAAGUGGCAGUGCAUCUACAAGCAGUUCGACACCGAGCGCUCGGGGUACAUCAACUGCCAGGCGCUGCCCGGGGCACUAAAGGCCGCCGGCUUCGACCUCCACGAGCAGCUCCAUGUCCUGCUGGCGCGGCGCUACGCCGACGAGAACGGCAACAUCAACUUCGACAGCUUCAUCAGCGCCCUGGUGCGGCUCGACGCCAUGUACCGCGCCUUUAAGGCCCUCGACCGCGACAACGACGGGCAAGUGGAGGUACGGAUGCCCGAAUGGCUCAAACUGACCAUCUACUCCUGAGCUGCCCGGCCGCUCCUGGCACAGAGAGGGCACCAACAUCCCCAGAUCCUGGGGUAGAAGGACUUCACCACUGUGCCCACUGAUGGGUGCCCGCUGAUACUGUGCCCGGCCAAUCCCCAGCACAGGGGGCAGAGAGGAUUCUGGGACAUAUCAGUGACUGCUUCAUUCCUGUCAGAGCACCUUAUUGCCCCAGUGGGGGGCUAUUACCCCAAUAUAACACCCCUAGCAGGACAUUAUAUCCGGUCAUACACAAUGCUUGUUCUGCUGGCAGCCAAUCAGAAUGAUUCCUUAUGUACUGAAAGUUUUCAUUGGCCCAAUCUCCCCCCCCCCCAUAAUAAACAUCUGCUGCUUAAAGGAA